rnacentral:rRNA from 1 species
GUGCCAGCNGCCGCGGUAAUACGUAGGUGGCAAGCGUUGUCCGGAUUUAUUGGGCGUAAAGCGAGCGCAGGCGGUUUUUUAAGUCUGAUGUGAAAGCCUUCGGCUCAACCGAAGAAGUGCAUCGGAAACUGGGAAACUUGAGUGCAGAAGAGGACAGUGGAACUCCAUGUGUAGCGGUGAAAUGCGUAGAUAUAUGGAAGAACACCAGUGGCGAAGGCGGCUGUCUGGUCUGUAACUGACGCUGAGGCUCGAAAGUAUGGGUAGCAAACAGGAUUAGAUACCCUGGUAGUCCAUACCGUAAACGAUGAAUGCUAAGUGUUGGAGGGUUUCCGCCCUUCAGUGCUGCAGCUAACGCAUUAAGCAUUCCGCCUGGGGAGUACGGCCGCAAGGCUGAAACUCAAAGGAAUUGACGGGGGCCCGCACAAGCGGUGGAGCAUGUGGUUUAAUUCGAAGCUACGCGAAGAACCUUACCAGGUCUUGACAUACUAUGCAAAUCUAAGAGAUUAGACGUUCCCUUCGGGGACAUGGAUACAGGUGGUGCAUGGUUGUCGUCAGCUCGUGUCGUGAGAUGUUGGGUUAAGUCCCGCAACGAGCGCAACCCUUAUUAUCAGUUGCCAGCAUUAAGUUGGGCACUCUGGUGAGACUGCCGGUGACAAACCGGAGGAAGGUGGGGAUGACGUCAAAUCAUCAUGCCCCUUAUGACCUGGGCUACACACGUGCUACAAUGGAUGGUACAACGAGUUGCGAACUCGCGAGAGUAAGCUAAUCUCUUAAAGCCAUUCUCAGUUCGAAUUGUAGGCUGCAACUCGCCUACAUGAAGUCGGAAUCGCUAGUAAUCGCGGAUCAGCAUGCCGCGGUGAAUACGUUCCCGGGCCUUGUACACACCGCCCGU